CGAACGGGUGAGUAAUGCGUGACCAACCCGCCCCAUGCUCCAGAAUAGCUCUUGGAAACGGGUGGUAAUGCUGGAUGCUCCAACUUGACGCAUGUCUUGUUGGGAAAGUGUUUAGUGGCAUGGGAUGGGGUCGCGUCCUAUCAGCUUGUAGGCGGGGUAAUGGCCCACCUAGGCUUCGACGGGUAGCCGGCCUGAGAGGGCGGACGGCCACAUUGGGACUGAGAUACGGCCCAGACUCCUACGGGAGGCAGCAGCU
rnacentral:rRNA from 1 species